UACGUAGGGGCCUAGCGUUGUCCGGAUUUAUUGGGCGUAAAAGAGCUCGUAGGCGGUUUUGUCGCGUCUGCUGUGAAAACUCGGGGCUUAACCCCCGGGGCCGCAGUGGGGUACGGGCAGACUAGAGUGCGGGUAGGGGGGAGACUGGGAAUUCCUGGUGUAGCGGUGAAAUGCGUAGAUAUCAGGAGGAACACCGGUGGCGAAGGCGGCUUUCUGGACAGAAAACUGACGCUGAUGCGCGAAAAGCUAGGGGGGAGCAAACAGGAUUAG
rnacentral:rRNA from 1 species